rnacentral:rRNA from 1 species
UCCAGACUCCUACGGGAGGCAGCAGUGGGGAAUAUUGCACAAUGGGCGCAAGCCUGAUGCAGCCAUGCCGCGUGUAUGAAGAAGGCCUUCGGGUUGUAAAGCACUUUCAGUCGGGAGGAAGGUGUCAAGGUUAAUAACCUUGGCAAUUGACGUUACCGACAGAAGAAGCACCGGCUAACUCCGUGCCAGCAGCCGCGGUAAUACGGAGGGUGCAAGCGUUAAUCGGAAUUACUGGGCGUAAAGCGCACGCAGGCGGUCUGUCAAGACGGAUGUGAAAUCCCCGGGCUCAACCUGGGAACUGCAUUCGAAACUGGCAGGCUGGAGUCUUGUAGAGGGGGGUAGAAUUCCAGGUGUAGCGGUGAAAUGCGUAGAGAUCUGGAGGAAUACCGGUGGCGAAGGCGGCCCCCUGGACAAAGACUGACGCUCAGGUGCGAAAGCGUGGGGAGCAAACAGGAUUA